rnacentral:rRNA from 1 species
CCGGCCGCCGGGGGCGCGGCGUGGCCCGCUCCCUCUCGUCUUGAACCUUCUUUACAGUAUACCUAUAAUGUCUGAGUAAAACCACAGAAUCGUUAAAACUUUCAACAACGGAUCUCUUGGUUCUGGCAUCGAUGAAGAACGCAGCGAACUGCGAUAAGUAAUGCGAAUUGCAGAAUUCAGCGAGCCAUCGAAUCUUUGAACGCACAUUGCGCCCGCCAGCAUUCUGGCGGGCAUGCCUGUCCGAGCGUCAUUUCCUCCCUCACGCAGCACGCCUGCGUGGUGUUGGGGCGUUCUGCGGCCCGGCUUGCGCCUAGCGUAUGCCGCCGCAGCCCCCGAAAGCCAGUGGCGGGCCGGCAGCGGGCUCCGAGCGCAGUAAGCAGCAGUGCCCUCGCUUUGGACGCCCCCGCCUGCGCCCUGCCCUUAUUUUGGCAGACGUAAGUCUGCCUCCUUACUCAAGGUUGACCUCUGGAUCAGGUA